rnacentral:piRNA from 1 species
UUUAAUCAGUUCUCCUCCCGUGC